rnacentral:rRNA from 1 species
CCCUUAGAUGUUCUGGGCCGCACGCGCGCUACACUGACGAAUGCAACGAGCUUAUAACCUUGGCCGAAAGGUCUGGGUAAUCUCCAAAUUUCGUCGUGAUGGGGAUAGAUUAUUGCAAUUAUUAAUCUUCAACGAGGAAUGCCUAGUAAGCGCAAGUCAUCAGCUUGCGUUGAUUACGUCCCUGCCCUUUGUACACCCCGCCCGUCGCUCCUACCGAUUGAAUGGUCCGGUGAAGCGCUCGGACCGCGGCCUCUUGACGGUUCGCUGUCGAUUGGCUGUGGGAAGUUCGUUAAACCUUAUCAUUUAGAGGAAGGAGAAGUCGUAACA